rnacentral:misc_RNA from 1 species
GGAAGUAAAAGUCGUAACAAGGUUUCCGUAGGUGAACCUGCGGAAGGAUCAUUACCUAGAGUUGUAGGCUUUGCCUGCUAUCUCUUACCCAUGUCUUUUGAGUACCUUACGUUUCCUCGGCGGGUCCGCCCGCCGAUUGGACACUUUAAACCAUUUGCAGUUGCAAUCAGCGUCUGAAAAAACUUAAUAGUUACAACUUUCAACAACGGAUCUCUUGGUUCUGGCAUCGAUGAAGAACGCAGCGAAAUGCGAUAAGUAGUGUGAAUUGCAGAAUUCAGUGAAUCAUCGAAUCUUUGAACGCACAUUGCGCCCCUUGGUAUUCCAUGGGGCAUGCCUGUUCGAGCGUCAUUUGUACCUUCAAGCUUUGCUUGGUGUUGGGUGUUUGUCUCGCCUCUGCGUGUAGACUCGCCUCAAAACAAUUGGCAGCCGGCGUAUUGAUUUCGGAGCGCAGUACAUCUCGCGCUUUGCACUCAUAACGACGACGUCCAAAAGUACAUUUUUACACUCUUGACCUCGGAUCAGGUAGGGAUACCCGCUGAACUUAAGCAUAUCAAUAA